CGGCGGACGGGUGAGUAACACGUGGAUAACCUACCUAUAAGACUGGGAUAACUUCGGGAAACCGGAGCUAAUACCGGAUAAUAUUUUGAACCGCAUGGUUCAAAAGUGAAAGACGGUCCUGCUGUCACUUAUAGAUGGAUCCGCGCUGCAUUAGCUAGUUGGUAAGGUAACGGCUUACCAAGGCAACGAUGCAUAGCCGACCUGAGAGGGUGAUCGGCCACACUGGAACUGAGACACGGUCCAG
rnacentral:rRNA from 1 species